rnacentral:rRNA from 1 species
GAUGAACGCUGACAGAAUGCUUAACACAUGCAAGUCAACUUGAAUUUGGGUUUUUAACUUAGGUUUGGGUGGCGGACGGGUGAGUAACGCGUAAAGAACUUGCCUCACAGCUAGGGACAACAUUUGGAAACGAAUGCUAAUACCUAAUAUUAUGAUAAUAGGGCAUCCUAUAAUUAUGAAAGCUAUAAGCGCUGUGAGAGAGCUUUGCGUCCCAUUAGCUAGUUGGAGAGGUAACGGCUCACCAAGGCGAUGAUGGGUAGCCGGCCUGAGAGGGUGAUCGGCCACAAGGGGACUGAGACACGGCCCUUACUCCUACGGGAGGCAGCAGUGGGGAAUAUUGGACAAUGGACCAAGAGUCUGAUCCAGCAAUUCUGUGUGCACGAUGAAGUUUUUCGGAAUGUAAAGUGCUUUCAGUUGGGAAGAAAGAAAUGACGGUACCAACAGAAGAGGUGACGGCUAAAUACGUG